rnacentral:lncRNA from 1 species
UUUUGUUAUUUUCGCAAUUUAUUUUCAAAUAUGUAAUACGCGAACUUGGUACAACAUUCAUGUGAUAAAAAGGUAGAUACGUGGACAGGAUGCGGUGGCUCACGCCUGUAAUCCCAGCACUUUGAGAGGCCUAGAUGGGCGGAUCACUUGCUGUCAGGAGUUCGAGACCAGCCUGGCCAACAUGAGUCUACAAAUAAACAUUUUAUAAAGAUGGUCCUUCAAUACAUAUUCUACAGCCCAGUUAAAAUGUGAGAGGCCAUGAUCUAUAGGCAGCCAUUUAUAAAGGUAGAUCGGGGCCGGGCACGGUGGCUCACGUCUGUAAUCCCGGCACUCUGGGAGGCCGAAGCGGGAGGAUCGCUUGAGCUCAGGAGUUCAAAACCAAUCUGGCCAACAUGGUGAGACCCCAUCUUUACAAAAAAUAUAUAUAUAUCCAGGCAUAGUGGUGUGCAUCUGUGGUCCUGUGGUCCUGUGGUCCCAGCUACUUAGGAAGCUGAGGCAGUCAAGGCUGCAGUGAGCCACGUUCUGGCCACUACACUCCAGCCUGGGCAUCAAAGUGACAAGACCAAAAAAAAAAAAAAAAAA